rnacentral:rRNA from 1 species
UAGCUAGUUGGUGGGGUAAGGGCCUACCAAGGCGACGAUCGGUAGCUGGUCUGAGAGGAUGACCAGCCACACUGGAACUGAGACACGGUCCAGACUCCUACGGGAGGCAGCAGUGGGGAAUAUUGGACAAUGGGGGGAACCCUGAUCCAGCAAUGCCGCGUGUGUGAAGAAGGCCUGAGGGUUGUAAAGCACUUUCAGUAGGGAGGAGGGUAAUUAGGUUAAGAGCUAGAUUACUGGACGUUACCUACAGAAGAAGCACCGGCUAACUCCGUGCCAGCAGCCGCGGUAAUACGGAGGGUGCGAGCGUUAAUCGGAAUUACUGGGCGUAAAGGGUGCGUAGGUGGUUAAUUAAGUUAUGUGUAAAAUCCCUGGGCUCAACCUGGGCAGGUCAUAUAAUACUGAUUGACUCGAGUAUGGGAGAGGGUAGUGGAAUUUCCGGUGUAGCGGUGAAAUGCGUAGAGAUCGGAAGGAACACCAGUGGCGAAGGCGGCUACCUGGCCUAAUACUGACACUGAGGCACGAAAGCGUGGGGAGCAAACAGGAUUAGAUACCCUGGUAGUCCACGCUGUAAACGAUGUCAACUAGCUGUUGGUUAUAUGAAAAUAAUUAGUGGCGC